UACAGAGGUCUCAAGCGUUGUUCGGAUUCAUUGGGCGUAAAGGGUGUGUAGGUGGCGCGCUAAGUCGGGUGUGAAAUUUCGGAGCUUAACUCCGAAACUGCAUUCGAUACUGGCGUGCUUGAGGACUGGAGAGGAGACUGGAAUUCAUGGUGUAGCAGUGAAAUGCGUAGAGAUCAUGAGGAAGACCGGUGGCGAAGGCGGGUCUCUGGACAGUUCCUGACGCUGAGGCACGAAGGCCAGGGGAGCAAACGGG
rnacentral:rRNA from 1 species